rnacentral:tRNA from 1 species
GGGGCGGUGGUCUAGCUUGGUAUGAUACCAGCCCGGGGCGCUGGUGGUCGGGAGUUCGAAUCUUCCCCGCCCCA